rnacentral:pre_miRNA from 1 species
CAGGUGCUCCCUCCGUCCGAAAAAGAUUGUCCCUCAAAAUUAUGUAUUUAGCACCAAGUUAGUGCUAGAUAUAUCCAUUUAAGGAACAAGUUUGGGAGAAGUUUUUUCGGACGGAGGGAGUAAUAA